GGGCUUUUGAGGUCUUCCAAGCUCGUUGGUCCAGUGUGUCUCACUCUUCUGCUGCCUACGGAUCAAUAUGUAGAACUCUCAGCUACCUCUCCAGCCCCGUGUCUCCCUGCACGCCACCAUGCUCCACACCAUGAUGAUAACGGACUGAACCUCUGAACUCACUAAACAGUUCCUGAGAGGAACUACUGAGGAUGCAGUUAGGAGCCAGGCUGGACGCCAUGGGUGCUGUGAGCCGGUCCCCAGAGGUCAGCUGACCAGUUGGAAUACAGUGAGAUUGUGGAGGAAGCAACAGGACUCCCAGAUAAAUUGCCCCAGUAGCAUCUUCAAAGACACAGGUUUUCUUCUCCGUCUGAGUGGCAUGGUGGACAGCACUUGGACUUCUCUGUGAAGAUGUGCAGGCUCCUCUAAGAUGUCUUUAUUAGCUCCCCUCACAGGCUGGGGCUGAAAUCCAUGCUCAAUGCACAGUGAACCAAGGCUGAGACACCA
rnacentral:lncRNA from 1 species